rnacentral:tRNA from 1 species
GGACCCGUAGUGUAAUGGAUUAUCAUAUGGGUUUCCGGAGCCCAUGAUCCGGGUUCGAAUCCCGGCGGGUCUG